rnacentral:rRNA from 1 species
AACACAUGCAAGUCGCACGAGAAAGUCCCCUUCGGGGGAUGAGUAAAGUGGCGCACGGGUGAGGAACGCGUAGGUAAUCUACCCUCAGGCGGGGGACAACACUCCGAAAGGAAUGCUAAUACCGCGUAAGACCACACUUACUAAGGUGAGAGUGGUAAAAGAUGGCCUCUUCUUGAAAGCUAUCACCAGAGGAUGAGCCUGCGUCCCAUCAGCUUGUUGGUAAGGUAACGGCUUACCUAGGCGAAGACGGGUAGCUGGUCUGAGAGGAUGAUCAGCCACACUGGCACUGGAACACGGGCCAGACUCCUACGGGAGGCAGCAGUGAGGAAUAUUGGGCAAUGGGCGCAAGCCUGACCCAGCCACGCCGCGUGUGUGAUGAAGGCCUUCGGGUCGUAAAGCACUGUGGGGAGGGACGAAAAAUCUCCGUUCGAAUAGGGCGGAGGCUUGACGGUACCUCCUUAGCAAGCACCGGCUAACUCUGUG